UACGUAGGGGGCAAGCGUUGUCCGGAAUCAUUGGGCGUAAAGAGCUCGUAGGCGGCUUGCCACGUCGACUGUGAAAACCCGGGGCUCAACUCCGGGCCUGCAGUCGAUACGGGCUGGCUUGAGUGCGGUAGGGGAGACUGGAAUUCCUGGUGUAGCGGUGAAAUGCGCAGAUAUCAGGAGGAACACCGGUGGCGAAGGCGGGUCUCUGGGCCGUAACUGACGCUGAGGAGCGAAAGCGUGGGGAGCGAACAGG
rnacentral:rRNA from 1 species